rnacentral:lncRNA from 1 species
UUUUAUACCGGCCAGGUGGCUCACACCUGUAAUCCUGGCACUUUGGGAGGCUAAGUUGGGAGGAUCUCUUGAGCUCAGGAGUUUGAGACCAGCCUGGGCAACACAGCAAGACCUCAAGACCUCAUCUCUAAAAAAGAAAAAAGAUAGAUUUCUUUUUUUUUUUUUUUUUUUUAAUUAGCUGUUCUUGGUGGCAUAUACCUGUAUUCCUAGCUACUGGGAAGGCUGAGGAGGGAGGAUUAGUUGAACCCAGGGCUUAGAAGGCUAUAGUGAGCUAUGAUCACACCACUGCAAUCCAGCCUGGGCAACAGAGCAAGACCCUGUACCCAAACAAAAUAGAAAACCCCAGAACCCCCAAAGAUAUCUUUUUUGCCUUUAAAUGACUGAUAUUUGUAAAACUCAAACUGGGCAGAUGCGUUAAAAGAAAAAUCCUCAUCCCGCAGCCCCCCUCCAGUUUGAGAGGAUCCUUCCAGACCUUCUCCAGAACCUCCGCUCACACACAAACACACACAGAUACCCCUGCAGACAGACAGAUGCACACAGGCACACCUGUGCACAGACACACCCAGCCACCCACACAGACACAAGGACACACGGUAAUUAUAUUACAAAGUGGGUCAGAACAGUUUUCGGCGUGAGUGUAUUUAUGCAGACACAUCUCUAGUGACAAACCUAUGUAUAUUUUAUUUUUACAGGUCUUGCUGUAAGAGCAGAUGCUACGCACAGGCCACCUCCCUGUUCCGGCCCCUCCCACCAAGCCCUGGAGACGUUUCACUGUGUCUGUCCCGCCUUCCACACUGCCGCUGUGGGUGUGGUCCCACUGUAGGGGCUCGGUGCCAGGUUGUGCACAUCUAAACUUCAUGCCUGAUGACUCCAUUGCCAAGGCUGAGGGAUGGUGGCAAUGGGGUGCCCUGGGGUUGUGGACGUGGAGUUUCACUCACCUCUGGGAUUCAGGAAGUGUUUAUCAGAUAAAGUCCUGCUGACCCCUCAUGGCCCUGUCCUUAGGAGGCGUCUUACCUGACCUCCGAGGGCUCUGGAGCUACUGCGGGAGAAUGACCCUGUCGGUAUUUUUGAGGCUGUGUUGAGUGCGGCCCCCGUGGUAAGCUCUGGCGCUCAGGGAGACCCACGCGGCAUCACCGAAGCAUUUCAGGCUCCCGAAUCCACUGGCGGCCUCCCCCGGGGCCUCAGGCAGGGCAGGGAGAGAGUGUUUUGUCCUUCUUCUAUUCAACACUGUGCCCCUGGUCCUGAGGGUAGGGAGCCUCCUGCCACUAGGUCCCCGUGGGGGCCGAGGUCCUCACACUGAGCUCCUGAGAGUGAAGGGCAGCCUCCCCCACUCCCCGGGGCGGGCUCCCCCCACUCCCCCAGACAGGCUCCCC